CGGCAACCCCACCCGAGGGCUCCCACUGCUGCCCACAGACAUCUCAGGGUCUCCCGGGCCGGGUCAGCGGCGCCGGAACAGGGUCUCCCGGGCCGGGUCAGCGGCGCCGGAAGUGAUUCUCGUCAGCAGGAAUGCGCUGGCUGCCCGGGAGCCUUCAGGGUGGGCUCUGGGGGCCAGGUGCGGCCUCAGCGCCGUCCCUUCCCGGGAAGCCUCCUCCCUGGGGUCCACGCCGGCUCCUGCUGGCUCCCCCAUUCCGCUGAAAUCUGAGGAAAAGGCUCUGGGAACGCAGCCAGACUCCCCCACAGCUCAGACGGCUGUAAAGAAAUAUUCCUGCCAGAUGUUCAGAGGCGGAGGCCAGCAUGAGUUACAGGCGAUGCUGCCGGAAACGUGUGUUUUCCUAUCUAGGAGUCAGUCUGUCGCAGACCGAUUCCUGGAUCGCCGAGGUCGCCCACUCUCCCCAGAAGCCUGCUCCCUCCCGACCCGACCGGUGGGAGGCCGCGUCCCCGACGCUUGCCAGGAGCCCCGCCUGCAGCCGAGGCGUCCUCCCCGCGCCGCGGGCUCCUGUGGCAACGGCCGCCUCCCGGCUGGCCUCUUUUCUGCCUUCUGCCUUCCCGUUGGCGACUGGGGAGGCCCGUGGUCAACGAGGCCCCAGCGAUCACCUGGGGGACGUCCUGUAGGGAGAGCCUGACUCACAAGGACCAGUGUUGAGCCGUCGCACCCCCGCUUGGGACCAGGAUGGGCUGCACUUUCCCCACCCGCGGCCCUGGGACCCGCCCCACCCGAAGCCCGGGGAGAUCCAACCGCAGGCUGCCUCCGGCCAGCGGACUCAUUCACACUCCGCAAACAGGCUGGGGCCAGACGCCGCCCUGCCCUAGGUGCCCAGCAAACACGCGGGCCAGCCAGACCCCUGGACCUUCACAGGGAGGAGGAGAUGGAGAUGGGUUCACCCCCCACAAAGGAGGGAGGGGAGGGGAUGGCCGCCAUGCCCAGGUGCCGGGACAGGAGCCGAGGGCCGCGUGCACCCCUUGGGCCCUUGGAGGGGCCGGCAUGUGCCUCUCUGUCCCUGUGCCACUUCCACUGGCCGUACAGGGCCACCACCGCGGAAACCGCAUGUGUAACCCCUGGAAACAGGGUCCUCCUUGAUGAGUCAUGUUCUAAGUUGGGAGGAAAAUUCACUGGAUAGUGGAGGCAGUAGAAAGAAAUAAAAAAAGUCUUUGUUCCACAG
rnacentral:lncRNA from 1 species